ACUCCUACGGGAGGCAGCAGUGGGGAAUCUUAGACAAUGGGGGAAACCCUGAUCUAGCCAUGCCGCGUGGACGAUGAAGGCCUUAGGGUUGUAAAGUCCUUUCAGCUGGGAAGAUAAUGACGGUACCAGCAGAAGAAGCCCCGGCUAACUCCGUGCCAGCAGCCGCGGUAAUACGGAGGGGCGUAGCGUUGUUCGGAAUUACUGGGCGUAAAGCGCACGUAGGCGGACUAUUAAGUCAGGGGUGAAAUCCCGGGGCUCAACCCCG
rnacentral:rRNA from 1 species